rnacentral:misc_RNA from 1 species
AACGCAUCUUGCACUAUUCGGCUUCCCCGGAUAGUAUGCCUGGUUGAGUGUCUGUGUAUCUCUCCUACAUCAAUGUUUUUUGAUAUUGGUAUAGGGACUUGGGGUCUAAUCUCGUCGGGUAACACCGGUGAACCCUUUAAAUAUAGUAAGCUCCCUUCUUAUUCCACAAUGGAAAUACGCAAACCUGGGGAUGGCGUCGUAGCAAUCUACUUUUCAGUAUCAUUGUCGAAGCGCCUACACACACCUCUAAUCUGCGGUGCUAAUCCAUUCGAGUCGGGCGAAGCUUAACGACUGGCAAAGCGCCAUGCUCCCUUUAUUGGAGCACACGAACAACAAUGACCUCAACUCAGGUAGGACAACCCGCUGGACUUAA